rnacentral:tRNA from 2 species
GGUCCCAUAGUUAAAAAGGAUAUAACGGGGCUUUCCUAAAGCCCAAUUAGGGGUUCGAUUCCCUUUGGGACCACCA